rnacentral:sRNA from 1 species
CAUUCCAAAUCUGUUUAAAAAAUGAUCACUAGCCGGUGGACGAAGGCUAAAGCUCGCCGAUACUAAAGAUGUUGGCGACCCCUACCCCCCAUAGGGUACGCCGAUAAAGGUGUCGACGGACCGCGCACCUUUGUUUUACUCCUAAUGGUCUUGACCCGGAUUCCCCCCCAGAACCCGG